AUUGAACGCUGGCGGCAGGCUUAACACAUGCAAGUCGAGCGAGCGGCGGACGGGUGAGUAAUGUCUGGGAAACUGCCUGAUGGAGGGGGAUCACUACUGGAAACGGUAGCUACUACCGCAUACCAUCAGAUGUGCCCAGAUGGGAUUAGCUAGUAGGUGGGGUAAUGGCUCACCUAGGCGACGAUCCCUAGCUGGUCUGAGAGGAUGACCAGUCACAGUGGAACUGAGGAACGGUACAGACACCUACGGGAGGAAGCAGUGGGGAAUAAUGGACAAUGGGAGCAAGACUGAUGCACCCACGCCGCGUGUGUGAAGAAGGCUUGAGGGUUGUAAAGCACGUUCAGAGAGGAGGCGGUAAGCGCAGAAGAAGCACAGGCGAAAUCCGUGACAGCAGCCGCGGUAAUUC
rnacentral:rRNA from 1 species